rnacentral:rRNA from 1 species
GGAUUAGAUACCCUGGUAGUCCACGCCGUAAACGAUGGAAGCUAGCCGUCGGGCGGCAUGCCGUUCGGUGGCGCAGUUAACGCAUUAAGCUUCCCGCCUGGGGAGUACGGUCGCAAGAUUAAAACUCAAAGGAAUUGACGGGGGCCCGCACAAGCGGUGGAGCAUGUGGUUUAAUUCGAGGCAACGCGAAGAACCUUACCAGCCCUUGACAUCCCGGUCGCGGAUCGCAGAGAUGCUUUCCUUCAGUUCGGCUGGACCGGUGACAGGUGCUGCAUGGCUGUCGUCAGCUCGUGCCG